rnacentral:rRNA from 1 species
UCUCCUCGAAAUAGCUUUAGGGCUAGCCUCAUACAAGUCUUGCGGAGGUAGAGCACUGAAUUCCUACGGGGGCGUCAAAGCUUACCAAGGGAUAUCAAACUCCGAAUGCCGUGUAGAUGAUGUAUGGGAGUCAGACUAUCCGAGAUAAGUUGGGUAGUCGAAAGGGAAAGAGCCCAGACCUGCAGCUAAGGCCCCAAAAUGUGUGUUAAGUGGAAAAGGAUGUGGGAUUUCGAAGACAACUAGGAUGUUGGCUCAGAAGCAGCCACACAUUCAAAGAGUGCGUAAUAGCUCACUAGUCGAGAGGUCCUGCGCCGAAAAUGUCCGGGGCUGAAACACACUGCCGAAGCUCAGGGAUGAACAGUGAUCAAUACAGAUCAAUGCAAGAGGAAAGCUUCUUGAUGAAAUCAAGAAGAUUCCAAAACAGAUGAAACAGACUGCUGUUGGUCUGCGUUGAUCACUGUUCAUCGGUAGAGGAGCAUUCUUAAAGAGACGAAGCUGUACCGAAAGGAGCAGUGGAUUUUUAAGAAGAGAGAAUGCCGGAAUGAGUAGCGAGAAAGAGGUGAGAAUCCUCUUGGCCGAAUAUCUAAGGUUUCCAGGGUAAAGCUGAUCUGCCCUGGGUAAGUCGGGGCCUAAGGCGAGGUCGAAAGACGUAGUCGAUGGAUAACAGGUUGAAAUUCCUGUACUAUCCUGUAACAGAACUGUGGGGACGCAGACAGAGAGCACAAGCCGGGAAUGGAAAGACCGGUGCAAGCGAGGUAGGAGUACAUCAGGCAAAUCCGGUGUGCAAUCCGAAGACGUGAUGCGGAUCGAAAAGAAGUAGAGAAGUGUGUGAGCUGGCUGCCAAGAAAAGCCGCUAUUGUUUACAGGAUACCCGUACCGUAAACCGACACAGGUGGAUGAGGAGAGAAUCCUAAGGCCGACGGGAGAAGCAUUGUUAAGGAACUCGGCAAAAUGACUCCGUAACUUCGGGAGAAGGAGUGCCAUGCGAAUGGCCGCAGAGAAUUGGCCCAAGCAACUGUUUAGCAAAAACACAGGUCUAUGCGAAACCGAAAGGUGAGGUAUAUGGGCUGACGCCUGCCCGGUGCUGGAAGGUUAAGGGGAGAGGUUAGCGCAAGCGAAGCUUUGAACUUAAGCCCCAGUAAACGGCGGCCGUAACUAUAACGGUCCUAAGGUAGCGAAAUUCCUUGUCGGGUAAGUUCCGACCCGCACGAAAGGCGUAAUGAUUUGAGCGCUGUCUCGACAAUGCAUCCGGUGAAAUUGAAGUACCAGUGAAGAUGCUGGUUACCUGCGCCAGGACGGAAAGACCCCAUGGAGCUUUACUCCAGUUUGAUACUGGGAUUCGGUACUGCAUGUACAGGAUAGGUGGGAGACGAAGAAGGAUGGACGCCAGUCUGUCCGGAGUCGCUGUUGGGAUACCACCCCUGUAGUACUGGGUUUCUAACCAGUUGCCAUGAACUGGCAAUGGGACAAUGUCAGGCGGGGAGUUUGACUGGGGCGGUCGCCUCCGAAAGGGUAUCGGAGGCGCUCAAAGGUUCCCUCAGAAUGGUUGGAAACCAUUCGAAGAGUGCAAAGGCAGAAGGGAGCUUGACUGCGACACCGACGGGUGGAGCAGGUACGAAAGUAGGACUUAGUGAUCCGGUGGUAUAAAGUGGGAUUGCCAUCGCUCAACGGAUAAAAGCUACCCUGGGGAUAACAGGCUUAUCACUCCCAAGAGUUCACAUCGACGGAGUGGUUUGGCACCUCGAUGUCGGCUCAUCGCAUCCUGGGGCUGUAGUAGGUCCCAAGGGUUGGGCUGUUCGCCCAUUAAAGCGGUACGCGAGCUGGGUUCAGAACGUCGUGAGACAGUUCGGUCCCUAUCCGGCGUGGGCGUAGGAUAUUUGAGAGGAGCUGCCCUUAGUACGAGAGGACCGGGGUGGACUGGCCGCUGGUGUAUCUGUUGUAUUACCAAGUGCAUAGCAGAGUAGCCAAGCCGGGAAGGGAUAAACGCUGAAGGCAUCUAAGCGUGAAGCCCCCCUCAAGAUGA